UGGGGAAUUUUGCACAAUGGGGGCAACCCUGAUGCAGCGACGCUUCGUGAUUUAGAAGGCCUUCGGGUUGUAAAAAUCUUUUGUAUGGGAAGAAAAUGACAGUACCAUACGAAUAAGGAACGGCUAAUUACGUGCCAGCAGCCGCGGUAAUACGUAAGGUCCGAGCGUUGUCCGGAAUCAUUGGGCGUAAAGGGUACGUAGGCGGAUAAGCAAGUUAGAAGUGAAAUCCUAUAGCUCAACAAUAGUAAGCUUUUAAAACUGCUCAUCUUGAGGUAUGGAAGGGAAAGUGGAAUUCCUAGUGUAGCGGUGAAAUGCGCAGAUAUUAGGAGGAAUCCCGGUGGCGAAGGCGACUUUCUGGCCAUAAACUGACGCUGAGGUACGAAAGCGGGGGUAGCAAACAGG
rnacentral:rRNA from 1 species